AUUGAACGCUGGCGGCAGGCCUAACACAUGCAAGUCGAGCGGAAGGGGCUUCGGCCCCGAGAGCGGCGGACGGGUGAGGAUAGCGUGGGAAUCUGCCUGUAGAUGGGGGAUAGCCCGGAGAAAUCCGGAUUAAUACCGCAUAAUACCUGAGGGUUAAAGUGGAGGAUCGCAAGACUUCACGUCUACAGAUGAGCCCACGUCAGAUUAGCUAGUUGGUAGGGUAAAGGCCUACCAAGGCGACGAUCUGUAGCUGGCCUGAGAGGGUGGCCAGCCACACUGGAACUGAGACACGGUCCAGACUCCUACGGGAGGCAGCAGUGGGGAAUAUUGGACAAUGGGCGCAAGCCUGAUCCAGCCAUGCCGCGUGUGUGAAGAAGGCCUUCGGGUUGUAAAGCACUUUAAGUUGGGAGGAAGGUUCCAAGGCUAAUACCUUUGGGAAUUGACGUUACCGACAGAAUAAGCACCGGCUAAUUCCGUGCCAGCCGCCGCAGUAA
rnacentral:rRNA from 1 species